AUGUCUCUGGGUGGCAGCGAGCACGGCAAGUCAAAGCUGGCUCUUCAGGGCUUCUGCGGCCUGAGGUGGCCGGUCUUCGGUCUUCGAAAGAACCACCAGCCAUCGCCAGGAGGGGACUGCCCAUGGACUGGCACUCAGACCUGGGUGAACAGAGUCCUCGAAAGCAACUCAUUUGGCGACGCCACGGGGACGAACUGUGCCGCGGUGCAUUUCGUGUUGAGGAGCGAUGUGCACUCACUGCCUUCAACUUGAGGCGCCCAUCCCCAAUGCACCGGUUACCCGCUGGCAGCGCAAAACAAACGAAGCCACAGGCCCAGCCCCCUCGCCGCCGAUGAGGGCAGACCAAGGAUCACACAGCGCUGGCCGAACCCCGGGGCGGAACUCCUGGCAAAUCUAAUUCCAAAGUUCAGACCACCCCUAGCAAGCCUGGAGCUGACCGCUAUAUCCCCCAAGGCAUUGCUUCCCAAAUAGAGGUGGCCAGCUUCCUAUUGAGCAAGGAAAACCAGCUGGAAGACAAGGAUGGUGGGGGACGCCCACCAAGAAAGAGCAUCAGAAAGCCUGGGCUCUGAACCUGAACGGUUUUGAUGUGGAGGAAGCCAAGAUUCUCAGGCUCAGUAGAAAACCUCAGAAUGUCCCUGAAGGCUACCUACCAGAACCGACUGAAAGUACUCUACAGUCAGAAGUUAGGCUUGGCUUCAGCCGGAAGGCUUGUAGAUACGUUCCUUCCCUGCCAGACAGGAUUCUUGAUGUUCCUGAAAUCCGGAAUGACUACUACCUGAAUCUUGUUCAUCGGAGCUCUGGAAAUGUAUUGGCUGUGGCACUGGACAACAGUGUGUAGUUAUGGAAUGUUGGUUCGGGUGACAUCCUGUAGUUGUUGCAAAUGUAGCAGCCUGGGGACUACAUAUGUUCGGUUGCCUGGAUCAAAGAGGAAAACUACCUAGUUGUGGGCCGGUAAAGCUGAGGGAUGUACAGCAGUAGUAACUACUUUGAAACAUGACCACUUACACCGCUCCAGUAAGCUCCCUAAGUUGGAACAGCUAUAUCCUGCCCAGUGGUCCACGGUUUGGCCACAUCCACCACCCUGAUAUUUGAGUAGCAGAACACCAUGUGGCCACACUGAGUGGCCAUAGCCAGGGAGUAUGUGGGCUGCGCUGGGCCCCAGUUGGAGGACAUCUGACAACCGGUGGCAAUAAUAAGAUUGCCAAUGUGUGGCCUAGUGGUCCUGGAGAAAGUGGCUGGGUUCCCCUGCAAACAUUCACCCAACAUCAAGGUGCUGUCAAGGCUGUUGCAUGGUGUCCCUGGCAGUCCAAUAUCCUGGCAACAGGAGGAGGUACCAGUGACCGGACACAUUCACAUUUGGAAUGUCUGCUCUGGGGCCUAAGUGCUGUGGAUGUACGUUCCCAAGUGUGCUCCAUCCUCUGGUCUCUCCACUAUAAGGAACUUAUCUCAGGUCUUGGCUUUGGCCAGAACCAGCUGAUUAUUUGGAAGUACCCAACCAUGGCCAAAGUGGCUGAGCUCAAAGGUCACACAGCCAGGGCCCCGAGUCUUACGAUGAGUUUGGAUGGGGCCACAGUGGCAUCAGCAGUAGCCUAUGAGAUUCUAUGGUUGUGGCUCUGCUUUUGAGUUGGACCCUGACCUUUCCUGGGAGCAGAGGUGGGGGUGGGGGGAGGGAGCCAGUGUAGCUAAAAGUAGCUCUUAUCCACCAAGGCAUUCAACCAAGAAGGCUGUGCCAGAGGAGAAACCUAAGGAAUUUCGCAGAGUUGAAGGUGAAGUGCCUGAGGAAGUUUCCCUUGAAGACAUUGCGAAAGACAGGAGGAAGCUCUUCCAGGAGAAGACAAAGCACUGUCACAAGGAGUGCAGGCAGGUGUACCGGACUGAGAUUCUGGUGGCUAGGAUGGCUAGGAUGGCAAGGAAAGCUGGAAACGUCUAAGUAUCCGCAGAACCAAAAUUGGUGUUUGUCAUCAGAAUCUGAAGUAUCAAUGGAGCAAGGCCGAAGGUCCCUACAGGUAUUGCAACUUCAACUUCUUCGGCUUCGACAGAUCUGCAACAGGCACCUUUGUUAAGCUCAACAAGGCUUCAAAUAACAAGCUGAGGAUUGUGGAACCCUACCUUGUAUAUGGGUACCCCAACCUGAAGUCAGUAAGUGAGCUCAUCUACAAGGGACGCUAUGGCAAAAAUCAUUAAGAAGCACAUUGCCUUGACAGAUAAUUGUUUGAUUACUUGAUCUCUUAGUAAAUUUGGCACCAUCUGCAUGGAGGAUCUAAUUCAUAAGAGGUAUACAGCUGGGAAACGCUUCAAAGGAAGUGAAUAACUCUUCCUGUGGCCCUUCAAAUUAUCUUUCCCAUGAGGUGGAAUGAAGAAAAAGACAACUCAAUUUGUGGAAGGUGGAGGUGCUGGCAACAGGGAAGAUCAAAUAAACAGGCUUAAUAGACAGAUGAACUAA